rnacentral:rRNA from 1 species
GACGAACGCUGGCGGCGUGCCUAAUACAUGCAAGUCGAGCGAAUGGAUUAAGAGCUUGCUCUUAUGAAGUUAGCGGCGGACGGGUGAGUAACACGUGGGUAACCUGCCCAUAAGACUGGGAUAACUCCGGGAAACCGGGGCUAAUACUGGAUAACAUUUUGAACCGCAUGGUUCGAAAUUGAAAGGCGGCUUCGGCUGUCACUUAUGGAUGGACCCGCGUCGCAUUAGCUAGUUGGUGAGGUAACGGCUCACCAAGGCAACGAUGCGUAGCCGACCUGAGAGGGUGAUCGGCCACACUGGGACUGGGACACGGCCCAGACGCCUACGGGAGGCAGCAGUAGGGAAUCUUCCGCAAUGGACGAAAGUCUGACGGAGCAACGCCGCGUGAGUGAUGAAGGCUUUCGGGUCGUAAAACUCUGUUGUUAGGGAAGAACAAGUGCUAGUUGAAUAAGCUGGCACCUUGACGGUACCUAACCAGAAAGCCACGGCUAACUACGUGCCAGCAGCCGCCGCCG